UUCAAGCUCAAGCCAAUCGAAGAAAUGCCUGAUGAUUUCAUUGUUUCCCUUGUGGAACAAGGCCGUCUCUCUUCAUUCAGUUUGGCUAUAAACUUUAGAUUCAAUUUGAAUCUUUCAUUAAGAAAAACAAAAUCCGAAACAACUUUUCCUUUAUAUUUUUACAAUUUUGUUAUGUGUCGAUUCAAUUGUCACUUUUAAGUUAAAGGAUAAUUUUCUCUCUCUCUCCAGUUGCUACAAAUAAAAAAGAAGUCUAUCUCCAUGGGAUUAAAGGUAGCUUUGAUGAUGUAAGUCCAGUCCAGCCCAAAAACAUAAGCCCUCAAACAACGCCUGUUGCUUUCUAGCAAGCGGAAGAAGCAGCAUUCAUGAGACACAUAGAGAAGGAAAUCGGUCCACCUUCUCGUUUCUCUCCACCUACAACGGAAAACGUAGAAAGCAAUCGCCUCUUGUAUCCCUCUCUUUUUCUCCCUUUCCUCUGGCCUGGUCUAAGCACUCUGCGUUAGAAGACGACAAGUGUGCUCUAUAAUUAGAGAUGGGAGUCCUGUAUCUGAUUUAUCAAUCAUGCAGUAAUCUUCCCCUUUUUUGUUGCACGAUGGUGAUUAAUAUGGGUAAUUCAGAAAUGUUUUGUUGGCUUGGUGUGUUUUCUGUAAAGGGCUGAGUGUGCUUUGCUAAUGGCGUAGCUUGUCCUCUUCCUAUUUCUCCCUGGUUUUUAAUGAAGCUGGAGAUAAUCCAUCUUUUCGUGUCGUUCUAGCUGUUUGUGUUGAUAGUUCAUGUCAAUUUUUGGAUAGGUUUUGGUUGGCUCAAGA